rnacentral:rRNA from 1 species
GAUGAACGCUGGCGGCGUGCCUAAUACAUGCAAGUCGAGCGAACAGACGAGGAGCUUGCUCCUCUGACGUUAGCGGCGGACGGGUGAGUAACACGUGGAUAACCUACCUAUAAGACUGGGAUAACUUCGGGAAACCGGAGCUAAUACCGGAUAAUAUAUUGAACCGCAUGGUUCAAUAGUGAAAGACGGUUUUGCUGUCACUUAUAGAUGGAUCCGCGCCGCAUUAGCUAGUUGGUAAGGUAACGGCUUACCAAGGCGACGAUGCGUAGCCGACCUGAGAGGGUGAUCGGCCACACUGGAACUGAGACACGGUCCAGACUCCUACGGGAGGCAGCAGUAGGGAAUCUUCCGCAAUGGGCGAAAGCUUGACGGAGCAACGCCGCGUGAGUGAUGAAGGUCUUCGGAUCGUAAAACUCUGUUAUUAGGGAAGAACAAAUGUGUAAGUAACUAUGCACGUCUUGACGGUACCUAAUCAGAAAGCCACGACUAACUACGUG